rnacentral:rRNA from 1 species
GCCUCUUGAGUAAAAAUAAGAGGUCCAGCCUGCCCAGUGACAAAUGUUCAACGGCCGCGGUAUCCUAACCGUGCGAAGGUAGCGUAAUCACUUGUUCUUUAAAUGAGGACUAGUAUGAAUGGCACCACGAGGGUCGCACUGUCUCCUUCCCCUAAUCAAUGAAACUAAUCUUCCCGUGAAGAAGCGGGAAUUUAUCUAUAAGACGAGAAGACCCUAUGGAGCUUUAAAUUUCUCUUCAAACGCCAGACAUAAACCCUAAACAUCUUACACCAACCCGGCGCCAUGAAGAUGAAUUUUAGGUUGGGGUGACCACGGAGAACAAGACAACCUCCACGCUGAAUAGGCCUAAAACCUUGAACUAAGGACCACAGCCCGACGAACUAAAAAAUUAACACCCAUUGACCCAAUUCUUUUUGAUCAACG